GUCUACGGCCAUGCCACCCUGAAAGCACCCGAUCUCGUCUGAUCUCGGAAGCUAAGCAGGGUUGGGCCUGGUUAGUACUUGGAUGGGAGAAAUACAUCUGGCCUAUACA
ensembl:rRNA 5S_rRNA 5S ribosomal RNA